UGAGCUCAAAUUUACAAUACAUAUUGAACACAACUAUAACCAUUAAUCUACAAAAUUUUACUUAUAAAUCUAUUACAAAACUCUUGAAAUCACCCAAAAUAUAAAUCCUAUUUUAUUUCAAAAAAUCCAAGUCAUCCAAAACAAUCUUUGACUUUGCAAAGCUCUUAAAAAGUCAAUACAGAUCCAAAUCAUCCAAAACUAAUGCUCAUAAAAACCUUAUCUAGUCUUUUUAAAAAUCUCACUCUUCGAUUUGCCA
rnacentral:lncRNA from 1 species